UGUUCUGUGGCUUAGUUGGUUAAAGCGCCAGCCUAGGGAACAUGAAGUUGUGGGUUCGAGUCCCACCAGAACGC
rnacentral:tRNA from 1 species